GUGACUGACUGUCACCUGACAGGCCUUCUCAGUCUUUUCCCCAUGCUGUCUGUUUACUACUGCCCACUUCCACACUACCGGCCUAUUACGGCUCGCCUGGUCUCUCCGACCACGCCCGCCGUACCUAGGCCCGCCCCCUUACUUCCCUAUAUAAACCUCUAGCCGUCCAAACAAUGUCAGACAUUGCUGGACGGCAGAGGUACUAGUGACAUGUCUGGUGGCCACACUGAGCGCUUGUCUCUUAUUGGAGCUCUGCUAGCUCUCUACUGACACCUCUGGCCAAAUUUAAUAUGACACAUUUCUGCUAACCUCAGGUUUUUACAUUAUCAUAUGUUACUUUGUGACUAUAUGGGCCUGAGGUCUUGCUAUAUGUGAUUCUGCACCGCCGGCUUCCUUCCUCUUAAUUUCAUCCAGAGGAGUCUUUCUGCGUCCUGAUAGUGGUGUCCUUUCUCUGGGGUGUGCAGGGUUGAUUAAACGCUG